GAGAUGUUCUGCUCUCAUUUCUGACAUAGGAGGCAGGAGCAUUCAUCAGAUAAGCCUGACCUCAGUAGAACUGCUGUAAGAGACUGAUGAACAGUGCUGCAGAGAAGCUAAGGUAGUCUUGCUGCUGCACAUCACAGGGUAGAGAAAGGUGAUCCUUUGGGGGCACUUAAAGCAGCUUGAGUGGAGGAUUAUGAAUUUUUCCCUUGAGAUCCUUGAUGCCUGAGAACUCCUCACCUGCCAGAAUUCCUCACCACCUCUUUGCCUGCUGGUAAGGAAUAGGAAUUUACUGGUUGGUGUGUAGUGCUCUAAAGAAUUUUAAGCCAAUUCUUAUGUACUUAACAAGUAUUAGAAAACAAAAAUGCAUAUGUUUGUGGUUUUUAAGGCAGACUAGCUACAAGGAAAGGAUGGAUAUAAUUAAGUUAAUAAAAUCUCAUUCUGAAGGUUUCUUGUGCUAUAAGAGGGUCCUCUGAAGCACUGGCGGAUGGGGG